rnacentral:rRNA from 1 species
CGCUUUAAGCCCUCAUUUAAAGUAAUGCCUGCUCCAUGGUUCACCUAAAUAGCCGCAGUUCAACCUGUGCUAAGGUAGCAUAAUAAUUAGCUUCAUAAUUGGAAGAUAGAAUGAAAGGCUAAACGGGCAACUUCUGUCUCAUCUAUAAUAAUUAACUUUAUAAUUUAGUCAAAAAGCUAAUAACAAAUUAUAGGACGACAAGACCCCGACAAACUAAAUUUUUAGUUGGGGCAACACAACAAUAAAACCUUAUCAUAUAACACAAAACUAAAAACUUUAAUAUAGACUAGUUACUGCGGGGAUAACAGCGCAAUUUUUCAAAAAGCUCUCAUUAAAAAAAAAGAUUACGACCUCGAUGUUGAAUUAGUCUAUCUAUGUGGCGCAAAAGCUACAAAAGUACGGUCUGUUCGACCAAAAA